rnacentral:lncRNA from 12 species
CAUAGAUGGGCAAGUAGUAUGCAUAAGAAAUACACAUGUGUUCUUUUAAAUAAACUACUGAGAUGGGGGUUGCCCAUUAUAAAGCUCUAGAUCUACAUAUUCUGACUGUGUGACCACAUCAUUUGACUAUGUAACUGUGAGCCAUAAAUAACUGGAAUGUUCGGGAUGUGGGUGGAUUCAUAUGCAUCCGUGGGGAAAGGAAAGACUCCAUUCCAUUCUGUCAGCCUGUCACCACCCUCCUGCCGUUGGAAUGUCCACAGCGUCAGAUAUUGGAGAUGUCAGAAUGCGGAAAGAAAAGCCUCUAAAAUUGCUGAACUCCAGUAUUUGAAAAACAAUUCUGGCACAUGGCUCUAAUCAUCAUGCAUCAUCACUGGCCUUCUUCAAAAAUAAAAAUAAACACCAAAACA